AUGCAAGCGUUGAAGAAGAAGAGUACCUUACUUCAUUCACUGAAGAGAGCCGGUGGCUGGUGCAAACCGGUGUGAAUGGUUAAGCGAAUGGGCUUCUGAGCUCCAAACUGAAACCGGCAGCGGUAGUAGGCUUUGGCGGACCGUCUCAUCGUUACCCGAGACAGGCAUUUAAUUAUGAUGCUGUAAAGUGAGCUUUUUUAGCUAAUUAAAGGUGGUACCACGGGUUCCUCGUCCUUUUG
rnacentral:ncRNA from 1 species